UGGCUCGCUCGCGGUUUGUUCAGCGAGCGCCUCCGUCGUCCCCAACCGCCACCUCUGGCCGCGGAGACUCGACGAAUUUGCCGUCUAUUUCGCUGCCAGGAGAGAGUUUUCCUCGAGUGCUCUCUGUCAGAGGCGAGAUGUCUGCUAAGUAUAAGGCGUCGGAGGGAGACUGGGUGUGCGCAGAGCCAAAAUGUGCAAAUGUGAACUUUGCCAGAAGGAAUACAUGCAACAGGUGUGGGAAAGAACGGAGCGGAUCAGGAGCUGCAGCGGCUGCUAAUGCUGAGAAAAAAAGACAGCUCGGAAUGGAAAUAGGCAAAGCGGCAGCAGAGAAAUCCCAUGGCCUUUUUAGUGCCGAUGACUGGCAGUGUAGCAAAUGUGGAAAUGUGAAUUGGGCCAGACGACAAACCUGCAACAUGUGUAACGCACCAAAGUUUGGAGACCUGGAAGAACGCACAGGGUAUGGUGGUGGAUUCAACGAAAGGGAAGGUGUAGAAUACAUCCAUAGAGAUGAGUCAGAUGAUGAAUUUGAUGAAUUUGGACGCAAGAAAAAAAAGUUUCGAACCAGGAAUCAACAGCUUUCAGGAGAUAACAAAAAAGAACCUCCUCCUGUAGUUAGAGAUGAUGAUGAUGAAGAUGAGGACGAUGAGGAUGAUGAUGGAGAUCUCUCCAAGUACGAUAUUUGGGGAGAUGAGGAUGAUGAUGAGGCAACCAAAGAUGACAAGAGUAAGAAUGGUAGAGAAUUGGACGACUCCCCUCGGAAAAGUCGAACAACAUCAAGAUCAAGGUCAAGAUCCCGUCACUGGUCGAGGUCGAAAUCCCGAUCGAGGUCACAUUCCCCAGGAAGGCGGAGUUCCAGGUCCAACUCAAGGUCAUGCUCCCGCUCUUCCAGAUCCUCCAACUCUAGAUCUAGGUCCUCGAGGUCUUCCUCAAGGUCAUGGUCAAGGUCACGUCGGAGGCGAAGCAACUCUACGUCCAGAUCUCCCAGCUCAAGGAGGAGGAGAUAUAGGUCAAGGUCACGGGAUCGUUCAAGUACGAAGAGAAGGAGAGGGUCACGCCGGUCUCGCUCCCGUUCUCGCUCCAGGUCGAGGUAACCCAGGUUGAAAGGAUCACAAGUUUCUUUUUAGGUGAUGGAGGUGCAAGAUCAUAUUCUCUCUUCUGUAAACUUUAUGGCCAGUAUUAUUUUAUGAUUGCAAAUCCUAUUCCAGGGACCGCAAGCAUACAAGGAAGUAGGAACGAACCAUUGCCGGAGAUAAUGUAUAAAGAUGGCUUCAUUCAUGCUCAUGCCAGGCCAAAGCUUGCUGCCCUAAAUGCUUUCAUUAUGCAAG